rnacentral:rRNA from 1 species
AAUCAACGCUGGCGGCGCGCUUAACACAUGCAAGUCGAACGAGAAAGUGGAGCAAUCCAUGAGUAAAGUGGCGUACGGAUGAGUAACACGUGGGUAAUCUACCUUUUGGUGGGGAAUAACCCUGGGAAACCGGGGCUAAUACCGCAUAAGCUCGAAAGAGGAAAGGAGCAAUUCGCCGAAAGAGGAGCCCGCGGCUGAUU